rnacentral:rRNA from 1 species
GAUGAACGCUGGCGGCGUGCCUAAUACAUGCAAGUCGAGCGAACAGACGAGGAGCUUGCUCCUCUGACGUUAGCGGCGGACGGGUGAGUAACACGUGGAUAACCUACCUAUAAGACUGGGAUAACUUCGGGAAACCGGAGCUAAUACCGGAUAAUAUAUUGAACCGCAUGGUUCAAUAGUGAAAGACGGUUUUGCUGUCACUUAUAGAUGGAUCCGCGCCGCAUUAGCUAGUUGGUAAGGUAACGGCUUACCAAGGCGACGAUGCGUAGCCGACCUGAGAGGGUGAUCGGCCACACUGGAACUGAGACACGGUUCAGACUCCUACGGGAGGCAGCAGUAGGGAAUCUUCCGCAAUGGGCGAAAGCCUGACGGAGCAACGCCGCGUGAGUGAUGAAGGUCUUCGGAUCGUAAAACUCUGUUACUAGGGAAGAACAAAUGUGUAAGUAACUAUGCACGUCUUGACGGUACCUAAUCAGAAAGCCACGGCUAACUACGUG